UUGGGAUAUAAUGUAUCUUGGCCUAGGUGUCUUUGGUUUAUCCUGGAUGUGGUUUUCUCAGAUCGUGAAUUUAGAAGUUUCUUCACUGACUCAGUGGUCCACGUUGAAGACCCCGCUGGCAGGGGGCAACUGGUGCCCAAUGUGGCGCUGGAGAUAUGAGGACCCUAACGGCCAUGACUCCCAGGACCGCCGCAGAGCCAGACACCGCGAGUGAAGGUCCGCACAGUGAGCACCGCAGAGCCACCCACCUGUGAGAUCGCUCAGUUGAUAAAGAUGCUGUUGCUAAGGGACAGGAGUUUAAGAUUAAGAGAAGCUGCAUCGUGUCAUGAAAAUAGACAAGAGGAAGAGCUGAGGAGUCUAACAAAGCUUCAUU